rnacentral:rRNA from 1 species
AUUGAACGCUGGCGGCAGGCUUAACACAUGCAAGUCGAGCGGAGAUGAGGUGCUUGCACCUUANCUUAGCGGCGGACGGGUGAGUAAUGCUUAGGAAUCUGCCUAUUAGUGGGGGACAACAUUUCGAAAGGAAUGCUAAUACCGCAUACGCCCUACGGGGGAAAGCAGGGGAUCUUCGGACCUUGCGCUAAUAGAUGAGCCUAAGUCGGAUUAGCUAGUUGGUGGGGUAAAGGCCUACCAAGGCGACGAUCUGUAGCGGGUCUGAGAGGAUGAUCCGCCACACUGGGACUGAGACACGGCCCAGACUCCUACGGGAGGCAGCAGUGGGGAAUAUUGGACAAUGGGGGGAACCCUGAUCCAGCCAUGCCGCGUGUGUGAAGAAGGCCUUUUGGUUGUAAAGCACUUUAAGCGAGGAGGAGGAGCUCUAGAUUAAUACUCUAGAUGCUUGGACGUUACUCGCAGAAUAAGCACCGGCUAACUCUGUG